UACGUAGGGUGCAAGCGUUGUCCGGAAUUAUUGGGCGUAAAGAGCUCGUAGGCGGUCUGUUGCGUCUGCUGUGAAAACCCGGGGGCUUAACCCCUGGCUUGCAGUGGAUACGGACAGACUAGAGGUAGGUAGGGGAGAAUGGAAUUCCCGGUGUAGCGGUGAAAUGCGCAGAUAUCGGGAGGAACACCAGUGGCGAAGGCGGCGCUCUGGGCCGGAACUGACGCUGAGGAGCGAAAGCGUGGGUAGCAAGCAG
rnacentral:rRNA from 1 species